UACGUAGGUGGCGAGCGUUGUCCGGAAUUACUGGGCGUAAAGGGCGCGUAGGCGGCACUGUUAGUCAGGCGUGAAAGUCCUGGGCUCAACCUGGGAACUGCGCUUGAUACGGCAGAGCUAGAGGAUGGAAGAGGCUCGCGGAAUUCCCAGUGUAGAGGUGAAAAUUCGUAGAUAUUGGGAAGAACACCGGUGGCGAAGGCGGCAAGCUGGUCCAUUACUGACGCUGAGGCGCGACGCGUGGGGAGCAAACAGG
rnacentral:rRNA from 1 species